UACGUAGGGUGCGAGCGUUGUCCGGAAUUAUUGGGCGUAAAGAGCUUGUAGGCGGUCUGUCGCGUCUGCUGUGAAAAUCCGGGGCCCAACCCCGGACUUGCAGUGGGUACGGGCAGACUAGAGUGUGGUAGGGGAGACUGGAAUUCCUGGUGUAGCGGUGAAAUGCGCAGAUAUCAGGAGGAACACCGGUGGCGAAGGCGGUGGUCUGGGCCGGCACUGACGCUGAGGAGCGAAAGCGUGGGGAGCAAACAGG
rnacentral:rRNA from 1 species